UGUGAAGGCGAUCUGGCUGGAUGUAUGUCACCUUAUUGAUUGCCAGGGUUGAUUCAGCUGAUCUGGCUGGCUAGGUAGGCGUCCCCUUCCUCCCUCAUGGCUCCAUGUGCGUCCCUUCCAAAGCUGCGCGCUUGAUGGAAGAGGACGACCUUCCCUGAGAGAGGAGGACCGUUCUUCAUCGUUCUUUGGUCAAGGGUAUAUGAGUAGCUGCACUCCCCUGCUAGAACCUCCAAACAAGCUCUCGAGGAUUAGAAACACAUUGUACUUGGCACAUAGUAGUCACUCAGUAAAUUUUAGCUAAUAUUGGUUUCUAAAGAAUGCUUGAAAGGAUCUGCCCACUUUAAAGUGAUUCUUU
rnacentral:snRNA from 14 species